rnacentral:rRNA from 1 species
ACAAAGAAGAACAUUCAUAAAACAGAAAGAAACUCUUGAAGAAAAAAAGAAAGUUAAUAGGCGGCAUGAUUCCCACCACCAGACAUCUGAACUCCGCGAUUUUUUGGAGGAGGCUUGCUCGUGGAGGAAGCACAGCAGCAAUUGUAUAAGAAUAGCCCGACAGCAAAUCCAAUUAUCACAAGCGCUGCUAACACCAGAACAAUAAUGAUCAUACUGGUAGUUUUAUCAUCGUCAG